rnacentral:misc_RNA from 1 species
UUCCGUCUCCCCUGCGGGCGUUUGCUUCAAACCCAAACGUUUCUUCGCCAGGCGGUGGCGCGUUGAGGCGUCGUCCGGACAACGGGCGUCCCUUGAAGUGCGAA